UCAGUUCGGACUGGAGUCUGCAACCCGACUCCACGAAGCUGGAUUCGCUAGUAAUCGCGCAUCAGCCACGGCGCGGUGAAUACGUUCCCGGGCCUUGUACACACCGCCCGUCAAGCCAUGGGAGCCGGGGGGUACCUGAAGUGCGUAACCGCGAGGAUCGCCCUAGGGUAAAACUGGUGACUGGGGCUAAGUCGUAACAAGGUACC
rnacentral:rRNA from 1 species